UAUUAAGUUAAGCAUAUUUAAUCUUGUGUGAACGUGUGUUUGUCAAAAAUUUGAUACAUUUAUCCUUUUUAUAAUCAGACACCAUCAUCAAAUAAAAACAGCUAGCUAGAUUUACUUAUACAUAAUUAAUUGAUUUAUGUGACACUAUGAUGCUGUUAUACAAAGCCGAUGGAUCAACUCAAGAGUCCUAAAGCCCAAUAUUUUUAAGUCUAGGGAUCUUCAAGUUCAGUCGAACGGAAUAGUACGGGUUUUUGCAACGUGUUUUAAGGGAUCGAAGGUCGCGGGUCGACCGAAGAUCCUGCAAAGCAAAUCAAGAUACUAAGUAACUGCAAUGUUAUUAGUCCAAUAUGAUCUUCAUUUCUCGACUCGUACAAUUUGAGAGCUAUUGGCCGCUACUCGGUGUCAAAUCUAUGUAAGCCACUUAGAGCAACUGCAAAUUCUCUUUUCAAUUAAAAUAAAUAUAUAAAUAAUAAAUAGAAAAAUUAGGGUUUUUAUAAUGCUAAUAAAGAUAAAACCAUUGACUUCAAAACGGAGUGGCUAAUGAGUAAUUAACCCGAGGCGGCGGUGGUGGAGUGAGCAUAAAUCAAAGUGUGUAUAUAUCUUAAAUAAUAAUUAAUCACAUUGAUUUCAGCAAAACCUUUCCUCGGAUUUGAACGCACUUGUUUAAUUAAUUACCCAAUCCUUACUAUGUUCACGCAAAUUGAAUUAUUUAUUUAUUUCAUCCCUCUCUCUUGAAAUAAGUAUAGUUUUGAGCACACAUCUAAUUAUAUUUAAUUACUCGUACAUAAACGUUCAGUGUCGAAGCCAGAAUUUUAAAUUAAAUGGACCGGAUACACAAGAUAUUGAUAUUUUUUUAUAUAAAUAAUUAGAGAUUUAAAAAAUAUGGAGGGAGCCAUGACCCCCGAGAAUGCUGGCUCCGUCGCUGGAAAUGUGGGCAUGAUUUACUCUCCAGAAUUUGAAGGCCUCCAAAGAAUAGUGGAGUAAAAUAGAAAAACAUUAAUUUGGGCAUGAUAUCCUCUCGAGGUGUUAAAUGCAUGUCGGAAGGAUUAUAAAGAAGAUAAUUAAAAUUAAAUUUAACAAAAUUAAAAAAUUAUAAAAAAUCAUGCUACUAGUAUGAAAUUAGUCAACGGUCAAAGAUUUUAAAGAGUGUAGUUGUCUCCCACAUGAAAAUUCAGCAUUAAUGAAGGAUUAGGGUUGCUUCGUCACAUACUAAUUAAAAAUUCCCAGAAAUACUCACUACAUUACUUUAGUUUUAUUUUUAUUUUUAAAUUAGUGAGUUAAAAAUGUGAUUAUCACGGACGAUAGUAAGUAAGGACUAAAUAUUUUGGUCCAUGAGGUAAUGUUAAAUUAAAAAAAAAGUUACAUUAUUUUGUUUGGGUAAUUACAACCACCCCUUAACUACACAUUCACAGUCUACUCAUAUUUUGUCAAAUUUACCUAUUGAAUGAAGGAUUCUUUCGUAAAACAAUACUUAGUUAAAAGGGUCUUGUAAUAAUUAUUCAAAGAUUAAGGGGUUUUUUCAUAAUUUAACCUUAACUCAGAAUUGGCCAUAAUUUGCUCUGAAAAAAUUAAAAUAAAAUUCAAAAAGCGCUAAAUCGAAUUUGAAAGAAUAAAUAAUUUUGAAAAUUUGGAAAACGUAGCAAUUAGGCACUAAGCUCUCUUGAAGGAUUAAAAUAAAACAAAACUAUUACUUGAAGUCUUGAACGGUAAUCGAAGUUUAAUUGUUAAUCACUAGUACAACUUUCGGUGAUAGUAUUAAUAUCUGACCCGGAUCCUGUUUUCGUUGACUUUUUAGAUUUUUUUGAUUUUAAUUUUAAUUUUUUUUUGGCUGGCCUUAAAUUCUCAGCCAGAGAUAUCAUAUAAGAUAAAAAAAAUCUAAGAUAAAAAAAAAAACGGAAAAUGUACGUGGAGUACACAUUAUUAUUAAAUAAUUCAAAAGAUUAUGUUUUGGACCAAUUAUUGAAGUAAAGUUGCUGUAGAUAAAAGCAAUUUCUUUUCGGGAUUUACAAAAAUUCUUUUGUAUUUUGGCGAAUAUGUCAGGAAUGUUGCUGCACAGGGCUCAAUUUGUAAUCUACUGUAUAUACUAUUCCUUAGUCAAACUAUACUUUUUCAAUUAGUUUUUUUUUUUACAUCUAUUUUUAUUUGUUAUUUUUCAUAAUUCGGUGUUCUGAGUUUUUUUAUAUUAUUGUUAUAUUUGAGAUUGCUAUUUUAUAUUAUUGGGUUUAUAAUUAAUUUGCUCAUCAUUGUGAAAUAAAUCACAGAAGUAUUGCAUGUUACUAGACAUUUGGUGGACUUGUCUGUUUUUUUUUUUUUUUUUUUUUUUUUUGAUGAAUUAUAAUGUUUUAAUUUAAAUUCAAGCAAAAAACACUAAUAAAGAAGAAACUGGAGAAGGGUCCUAUCUGCUAAGAGGAUUCAAUACACAGGCAUAAUUGAGAUUUAAUUUAUGUUAAUUAUGGUCGGCACAAAAUUAGACAAAUUUCACAUCAUUUUCACGACUUAUAUUCUGCACCAUGCAAUUUUAGGAAUUUGGACAUCUUCUAGCUGUUAUUAAAAACACACACACGCGGACAUAAUUUUUAACAUAUAAAUAAAAUUAGUGCUGAAAAGAAAAAAUAAAAAUAAAAAUCCAUGAGAAUUACGUGUCAACCAAAAUGCCAUUUGGCGGCCAGCUGUGCCAGCUGUCGUGUACCGUUCUUAUGAACUAACACCACGUGAAGUGGGAUGAGAAAACCGUUACAAAGUCUGCAAGCCGUUAAAAGUGAAAACAAUAAAUAAAUAAAUAAAUAAAUAAAAUAACCCCGUUAGUUAUCGUGUUACCGGGGAAACGAAGCCGGAGGAGAGGCUGCCGGUGUGAAAAGGAACACCCGCAGUACAAGCACGCAUGUAAUAAGUACACCCAGAGAGCGGGAGAACCGGGUAUUGCCGGUUAAUUUCCUGCACUUCAAGAUAUUAGAUGGGGGUGGUGACCGGUUUUCUAUGCAAAUUAACGAAUAAGACAAGCACACCAUGCGCGCGUACCACCACUUAU
rnacentral:lncRNA from 1 species